AGUGAACGCUGGCGGUAGGCCUAACACAUGCAAGUCGAACGGCAGCACAGUAAGAGCUUGCUCUUACGGGUGGCGAGUGGCGGACGGGUGAGGAAUACAUCGGAAUCUACUUUUUCGUGGGGGAUAACGUAGGGAAACUUACGCUAAUACCGCAUACGACCUACGGGUGAAAGCAGGGGAUCUUCGGACCUUUCGCGAUUGAAUGAGCCGAUGUCGGAUUAGCUAGUUGGCGGGGUAAAGGCCCACCAAGGCGACGAUCCGUAGCUGGUCUGAGAGGAUGACCAGCCACACUGGAACUGAGACACGGUCCAGACUCCUACGGGAGGCAGCAGUGGGGAAUAUUGGACAAUGGGCGCAAGCCUGAUCCAGCCAUACCGCGUGGGUGAAGAAGGCCUUCGGGUUGUAAAGCCCUUUUGUUGGGAAAGAAAAGCAGCAGGUUAAUACCCCGCUGUUCUGACGGUACCCAAAGAAUAAGCACCGGCUAACUUCGUG
rnacentral:rRNA from 1 species